UACGUAGGUGGCUAGCGUUGUCCGGAUUUACUGGGCGUAAAGAGCGCGCAGGCGGUCGUUCAAGUCGAGUGUGAAAGCCCCCGGCUCAACUGGGGAGGGUCACUCGAUACUGAUCGACUCGAAGGCAGGAGAGGGAAGCGGAAUUCCCGGUGUAGUGGUGAAAUGCGUAGAGAUCGGGAGGAACACCCGUGGCGAAGGCGGCGCACUGGGCUGACCGUGACGCUGAGGCGCGAAGGCGUGGGGAGCGAACGGG
rnacentral:rRNA from 1 species